UGUGAAAAGGCCAGAUUUAGAACUGUCCAGAAGGGGAUGUGGAGUGUUGUUAUUUCUCCAUAUGAGAAAAGAUAUAUUGAUGUGAGAUUCAGAGAUGAAAUACUACGUUUCGUGGUAGCUGCUCUUGAAGAAGCAAUUGGCGACUUGUGUGUCUGACACUGGGAUUCAUACUAUUGUUGUUGGCUCCUAUUAGUAGCAGUUGGGUUCCAUUUUAUCACAGCAGUUCCAUGGCUCUAGGAGUCUUGUUAUCAUAAUCCUUCUUUUUCAGUGCUGGGCAUGAAAUUGUUGCCAACCGGAAGAAAAAAAUGUCUUUUGCCUUGCCAUGCCAUAUCUGGAUUGGUGGUGCUGAUGUUAUUACUACAAGUCGUUUCAGCUUGAAGCUGGGUCUUUCCUUUUGCUCCACUUCUCUGUCUUAAAUUCAAUACUUUAGAGUUCUGGCCUGAGUGAAGAGAUACACAACCCACUUUUGCACUAGUGGGGAUUAUCCUGGCUGGAGCUGCGUUUGGCUAUAAGAUUGUUAGGAGAUUUGUUAUUUCAAAGGAUGGUGGUGUGGACUCUAGCGCAAUGCCCAUAU